ensembl:snRNA U2 U2 spliceosomal RNA
AUCACUUCUCGGCCUUUUGGCUGAGACCAAUUGUCUUAUCUGUUCUUAAUAUCUGAAACGUCCUCUAGCCAAGGGACAAUGUAUUAAAUGGGUUUUUGGAACCUGGAGUUGGAAUAGGAGCUUUCUCCGUCCACUCCGCGUCAGUGCCUCGGGGAGUGAAAAAAACA